rnacentral:rRNA from 1 species
AUUGAACGCUGGCGGCAGGCCUAACACAUGCAAGUCGAACGGUAACAGAAAGCAGCUUGCUGCUUUGCUGACGAGUGGCGGACGGGUGAGUAAUGUCUGGGAAACUGCCUGAUGGAGGGGGAUAACUACUGGAAACGGUAGCUAAUACCGCAUAACGUCGCAAGACCAAAGAGGGGGACCUUCGGGCCUCUUGCCAUCGGAUGUGCCCAGAUGGGAUUAGCUAGUAGGUGGGGUAACGGCUCACCUAGGCGACGAUCCCUAGCUGGUCUGAGAGGAUGACCAGCCACACUGGAACUGAGACACGGUCCAGACUCCUACGGGAGGCAGCAGUGGGGAAUAUUGCACAAUGGGCGCAAGCCUGAUGCAGCCAUGCCGCGUGUAUGAAGAAGGCCUUCGGGUUGUAAAGUACUUUCAGCGGGGAGGAAGGGAGUAAAGUUAAUACCUUUGCUCAUUGACGUUACCCGCAGAAGAAGCACCGGCUAACUACGUG